rnacentral:rRNA from 1 species
CCUACGGGAGGCAGCAGUGAGGAAUAUUGGUCAAUGGGCGGUAGCCUGAACCAGCCAAGCCGCGUGAAGGAAGAAUGCGCCAAGCGUCGUAAACUUCUUUUGUCUGGGAAUAAAGGGCGCCACGUAUGGCGCUGUGAGUGUACCCGAAGAAAAAGCAUCGGCUAACUCCGUGCCAGCAGCCGCGGUAAUACGGAGGAUGCGAGCGUUAUCCGGAUUUAUUGGGUUUAAAGGGUGCGUAGGCGGGCCGGAAAGUCAGCGGUAAAAGCCCGGGGCUCAACCGCGGCGAGCCGUUGAGACUGUCGGACUAGAGAAGGCGAGAGGUACGCGGAAUGCGCGGUGUAGCGGUGAAAUGCAUAGAUAUCGCGCAGAACUCCGAUUGCGAAGGCAGCGUACCGGCGCCGGACUGACGCUGAGGCACGAAAGCGUGGGUAUCGAACAGGAUUAGAUACCCCGGUAGUC